AUGCAAGGGGUUAAUGAGUCUAAUUCCAAGGAGGAAUUAGGCCCAGCUGCAGCACACGACAUCCCAGCAUCCCAUGAACAUCCCAGCAUCCCAUCAUUCCAGCAUCCCAUGGACAUUCCAGCAUCCCAUCAUCCCAUCAUCCCAUGGACAUUCCAGCAUCCCACCAUUCCAGCAUCCCAUGGACAUUCCAGCAUCCCAUCACUCCAGCAUCCCAUGGACAUCCCAGCAUCUCACCAUUCCAGCAUCCCAUGGACAUUCCAGCAUCCCAUCAUCCCAUCAUCCCAUGGACAUUCCAGCAUCCCACCAUUCCAGCAUCCCACCAUUCCAAUCACACGUUCCUUGAUAAGGGAAUUUGAACAUAUUUGGGCACUGAUAAUGUUCAAUAGGGCUGAGUGUGCCUCUGAACCCACCAAGUCACUUUCUCUACAACACUACACAUGAACCACUUUUUCAUUAUUGUUUCCUUUGCUCCUCCAUUUGUGCCACAGAAAGCACGAGGACCUGAGCACGUCUCAAAAUACAGAGGAUAAUUGAGGUACACAUAAAACCACUUGUCAGCUGCCCUACAUAGACAUCUACUGUAUUUUCAGGAGCUACUACAACGGGAGCAGCCUAAAAUCGCUUCCAAAUCCCUGCCGAAAAUGCCUCGUGCAGCACUUUACAGCAGCCUGCUGGAUCAUUAAAAACACUGUGGAUAAAACGCUUUGUAACCUGGAGAUUUCCGUGACAGCCCGACCAAAAACAAUACAGCCAGAGACCUCCUAGCUGAGAAGUGCUGCUAAUUAAAUCAGAGAUUCUCCCCAGCCAGGAGCUCCAACCAGCUGCAGCCGUAUUCCAGAGCAGGAGAAAAUGGGGGGUUUGAGCUACGGUGGGAUCAAGGGGAAAGUACAGCACAGGGAUAAAAGUUGGAGUGGGGGCUGGGGGAAGAAUUAAACCAAGGCAGAGGAUUGCUGAUCACGAACCAAAGCAAAGGUCCGGGUGGGUUUCGGUGUCUGAGUGCUGGUAAACAGAUCCUGCUCCAGCCGAGAGACAGGAGCGAGCCGGCAGCACGGGCUCCUUUAGCAGAGGCGGGAGCAGAGCCUGGGAAGCACAAAAUCCCCGCGCGGCACGGAGCCAGCGUUCCGAUCGUUGGGAAAUGCAGAAAUAAAUAACAACGCUCCCGGCAGGGGCUGAUCGUCCUCUCCCUGCGCAGCCCCGCGCUCUCGCUCCGCAGAGCCCCCAGACCGCUGCCGCCAGCCAAAACCGCAUCGUUCCACCCCAACAGCCCGUUCCUGAACUUCCAGCAACAGCCAGGGCUCCUCCGAGAGAGUUAAAGAGAGCGAACCGCGGAACAAACACACCCGGGAGGCAGCGCCGAGCUCCGGGGUGCGGAUGGCGCUGGGGACGCGUCCUCCAUCCCCGGGACCCCCGCGGCGCCGAGCGCGGCCGCAGCAUCCCCGGAGGGGCCGGGGUUUGGCCGGAGCAUCCCCGGAGGGGCCGGGGUUUGGCCGGAGCAUCCCCAGAACAUCCCCGGAGGGGCCGGAGCAUCCCCGGAGGGGCCGGGGGGGGGGGGGGGGGGGGGGGGGGGGGGGGGGGGGGGGGGGGGGG
rnacentral:lncRNA from 12 species